AUGGGAAAUAUUGUCAACACUGUUAGAAGAUUAGUGAAUGUGAUUUCUGAGGGCUUAUCUAGUACAGUAUCACCUAAAGAGAACUGUUCUACAGACGCUGUGGUUGCUAAGGGUUUGGAACGUGGUCCAGCCAGGGAUACACAUAAGAGCAAAGAGUUGAGACCACACAGUGUUCCUUCUGAAAAUAAUUUGUUUCACUGCGACGCUUACGAGAAAUUGAUCAACGGUGAGCUUAAUUUAGGUUGUAGAAGCAGUCCUGAGGCUUCAGAGGACUAUAAAAUGAUACCAAAUGCAGAUAGAGCAGUGUCUGGUCCUUUGGAUGCGAGAGGUUGUGAAAGUACCCCUAAAGCUUUGUUAAGGAGACAAGCUGAGCGGCAAAUAACUAACGAGAAAGCAUCAAUUCAGGCGAUGGUUCCAACUGGAACUUCAGCCUCUCCAGAUGUGAAAGAUCCUAAAACGGUGCUAUCUCCGCUUACCCGCAGUCGCAGUAAGGCUAUGGCUGUUUCCACACCUGAACAUCUCAAACUGAGAAACGCCAGAUCAGGUCAACUAGUAGUUCCACGGUUGGAUUCAGGAAGCCAAAAAAUUAUCUAUGACGUGGCAGAAGUACCUAUCACCCCAUUGGUGGAGCAAAGUUCUGCAGGUAAAGCGUUGCCGAGUACACCAUCACAAAUGAUCAAAACUCCAAUUCCAUAUGGACGAUCUCCACUUCCUCGUAAUAAGGAUAAGGUGUUAUCUGUUGCCACACCCGAAACUCCCAAACUGAGAAGCUCUAGAUCAGGUCGACUGAUAGUUCCACGUUUGGAUCCAGGAACACAAAAUAUUAUCUAUGACGCGGACGUGAUGCUCUUCUGUCACGCCACAACCGAGGAGGUCUCCGCUGUCAAAGGGUACAAUUCGGAACCACCUGCUAAGAGGAGGUCUCGGUGUUCAUCCUCCGACCAUGGCAGGUUGCUGCUAUUCUGA
rnacentral:rRNA from 1 species